ACGACCUUACUUGAACAGGAUCUGUUUUACAGGCUCGUACCACUGUAUCCUUGAGUUCUAAGGAGACAAGAAACCAAGCCAUGGUGGAUGAACCAUGACCAUUGGACCAGAGCGUGAUUAACAGUCCCAUGGACUUCGGGUCAUGGCCAUGGCACUGUAGAGGAUCGUUCUUUGCUCCUACUCUGGUGGUAUUGCUAUGGCUAGUGGUCUCGCAACAACGACA
rnacentral:snoRNA from 1 species